UACGGGGGGGGCAAGCGUUGUUCGGAAUUACUGGGCGUAAAGGGCUCGUAGGUGGCCUACUAAGUCAGAUGUGAAAUCCCUCGGCUUAACCGGGGAACUGCGUCUGAUACUGGAUGGCUUGAGUUUGGGAGAGGGAUGCGGAAUUCCAGGUGUAGCGGUGAAAUGCGUAGAUAUCUGGAGGAACACCGGUGGCGAAGGCGGCAUCCUGGACCAACACUGACACUGAGGAGCGAAAGCCAGGGGAGCAAACGGG
rnacentral:rRNA from 1 species